UACGUAGGGGGCAAGCGUUGUCCGGAAUCAUUGGGCGUAAAGCGCGCGUAGGCGGCCCUGUAAGUCCGCUGUAAAAGUCAAAGGCUCAACCUUUGAAAGCCGGUGGAUACUGCAGGGCUAGAGUCCGGAAGAGGCGAGUGGAAUUCCUGGUGUAGCGGUGGAAUGCGCAGAUAUCAGGAGGAACACCAAUAGCGAAGGCAGCUCGCUGGGACGGUACUGACGCUAAGGCGCGAAAGCGUGGGGAGCGAACAGG
rnacentral:rRNA from 1 species